rnacentral:lncRNA from 1 species
GGGCUGGAGGACGUUGAUUAGUGUGGGCGGCCGCGAGGGCUGGCGUUUCUAAUUAACACGCUGGCAGGGAGAGUGCCGCCUCUUCUUCCAGCCUCUGUGUUCAGCUGAUUGAAUAUCAGGGCUGAGGCUAAACCAGGAAUCCUGUGUCAAAAAUAAAGGCUGCGCGCUCCUCUCGUUAAAGGAACAGCGUCCCAUUUCCUGGGCUCCGCUUCUCCGCCAGCCCGGCUGCGCACGGUGGGGGACCAAGGCCACAGGGACCCCUGGCGCGGGGCGCGGGGACUCAGGGCCGCCAGCGGGGGUGAGAGAGGAGAGGCACGAAAGGCGGGGAAAGGUUGGGGCGGAGGAAGACGAGGGGAACCCCAGAUGGCUUCCUGGAGCCUCCCAGAUGACUCCCACGUGCACCAGACCUCUCUCGGCUGCAAGCAGCAAUCUUGACUGGCUGACUCCAGAGAAGAUGAUUUGUUAGCUCCUGAACUGAAAUGUCACAGGUACCCUACUUCAGGUACAGCUGGAUCCAGGGGCUCAUUCUCCCAAUGUAAGGUCAGAGAAAGGGAGAGUCUCUUUCCUGGGAGCAGGAUCUUGGAUGAGUUGGUUGCCUUUCAGAACUUGAGUUUUCA